rnacentral:rRNA from 1 species
CUACGGGGCGCAGCAGUGGGGAAUAUUGCACAAUGGGCGCAAGCCUGAUGCAGCCUUGCCGCGUGUAUGAAGAAGGCCUUCGGGUUGUAAAGUGCUUUCAGCGGGGAGGAAGGGAGUAAAGUUAAUACCUUUGCUCAUUGACGUUACCCGCAGAAGAAGCACCGGCUAACUCCGUGCCAGCAGCCGCGGUAAUACGGAGGGUGCAAGCGUUAAUCGGAAUUACUGGGCGUAAAGCGCACGCAGGCGGUUUGUUAAGUCAGAUGUGAAAUCCCCGGGCUCAACCUGGGAACUGCAUCUGAUACUGGCAAGCUUGAGUCUCGUAGAGGGGGGUAGAAUUCCAGGUGUAGCGGUGAAAUGCGUAGAGAUCUGGAGGAAUACCGGUGGCGAAGGCGGCCCCCUGGACGAAGACUGACGCUCAGGUGCGAAAGCGUGGGGAGCAAACAGGAUUAGAUACCCCCGUAGUC